rnacentral:lncRNA from 1 species
UUUUGUUUUUGUUUAAUUAAGUUUUAAAACCUUAAUCCCUAAAGAGAGCUACAUCGUAUAAUAUAAAAUGCAGAGCAAACAGCUUGUUAUUUCUGAAUGUUGAUAUUAAAUAUCUGAUUUAUUAAUAUCUCAUUUUAUCUAGCCAUUUUUAGUGCAGGGAGGGAGAUUACCUUGAAUGCUCUAGCUUCAGCUGCAUCCAAGUAUGACCUGCAGUUCAAAUCAGCUCCUGCUGGGGUAAAAGUGCCAAAAGGAUCCUAAAUAAGAGCAGCUGAACAAUAUAUGUAAGGAAUUAAACUUUUUAGGAAAACCUGACACGCACUAAGCAAACCAAAAGCAAGGAAAACUAAAUGUGAAACUGUAAGUGACUCCUACGAGAGGUGGCAGAGGACAGCAUUUUGGUCAGAGACCCAGGCCACACCACAUCCCUCCUCUAAAGCCCAGCCGUGUUCAAUUGCCUGAAGGCUCCAAAUCACCUAAAUGGGCAAGCAUAUCCCAUUUCACUCCCUGCUCGUGCUUCCUGGAGCAAGCAGGAAUUAUAAAUAGGUGUUACCGUAAACCUCACCCCUUGCUCUGGAUUUUGGAUAGUAGGCCAGAUCCAGCUGCACAAGAAGAAAUUUUAUGGGGUCAGUGCAGCUCCUGGCAACAUCAGCGGGACUUCUGCAACUAAUGUCGAGGACAAGGGAUUGACUGAGGCCUAUCAAAGUGCACAUGGGAUUGCAGAGUUCCCAGAUAUUUAUUCCAUGUAUGCUGAGUGAAGUUCAACAAGUCACUGACUGUGUCUUCAGAGAUGCUGAAUACCUUGAAACCCACCAGUUUCAGUGGGAUUUGUGAAGUCAAAGACAGCUCAAAGCUUCUCAGCAUGGGAAGCAAAAUUAAAUUUUGCUGCAUGAAAAAAUGAAGUCAAGAGAAAGUUCACUUCUGUCUCAGGAGAGGAAAAGGAGGGAAGGGGAAGAAGGAGGAAUUUCACUGGAGAGCCAGAGAAAGAGCUCCAGGGAGCCAGGAUUUCUGCAUCAGGUGUUGCCAGCAGGGGACAGAGAAUCACACUACCACCAGGGGACUGCUCGUUUGCCACUUCACAGUCCGUCUCCUCUGCCCCAGUGCCUGUUUUCAGACCAAGAGACUGACAUGAUCUGUCAAGAUCGAGACACAGAAAAGCUGCGCACAUCAGUGUCAGUGCUCUGUCUGGCUGCUGAGACUGAUCUUCGUCUGCUAAGGCCUGGGUUCUUCAAAACAACCUGCCAAGGCAGCAGAGUACAGGUCUGCAGUCUCAUUCAGGGGAUAGAGGAGCCAUAAGAACCAGGUAGAUAGUUACAAAAAAUGUUCUUUGACAUGCAGGAUUCAGUGCCCUGCUUUGGGCUCCAUGAGAAAAGAGAUUUUCUGACAUUUCAUUAUAUUAUGGCACUACCCAUGCCUCGACAAGCUGCAAGCAAUGUUUCACAAAAAAAAACGAAGAAACUGAAAGAAUCAUUUGUUUCCAGAUAGAGGAGAAGAAACUAAAGGAAAAAAAAAUCUCCAUCGGCUUUAGGUGCCCAAUCUGAUGCUUACAGUCAAAUUUUGAUUAUAAGGAAAGUCAAGGUGUCAUUGCUUUCAACUGCAACUCACCGCUCAGCACUUUGCAGGUGGUCCCUAAAAGGCUUCCCUUAAGAGGGAGGAUACAUUUGUAAAAAGUCUGUGGGUAAAAACCUUGAAAAAUAUUACAUAGGAAUUCUGUGCUGGAGGCAAGGACAGAAUCUAGUCCCACAACACUCACUCCACUGCUGCAAUUCCACAUUUUUCAAUUCUGAAUUCAACUGCCUGAAACAAAAGGCCAUUUUUCCUUUCUGUAUAGACCCCUCCACCGUAAGCAGAGAUCACAAGAUCACAAGACAAAGCCUCUUUCACUGCACAAUUCUUAGUCUUCCUCAGAACUUGAUCCAUCCUUCCCAUUUUCCUGUGGGAAAAAUAAUUAAUAAAGGACUGUAUCAUAACA